rnacentral:lncRNA from 1 species
CUCCUCUCCAACCCCCUGCACUGUUCCCACAAGUUGCAGUCACUGGACCGCAGUGUGUUUGGCCCUUUCAAGAAGAUGGUUUACACCUUCUCUGACAGCUGGAUGAGGCAUCAUCCUGGAACAACCAUGUCCAUUUACUACAUACCAGCAAUUGUAAGGGAUUCUUUCCCAAUGGCUGCCACACCAUCAAAUAUCCAGGCUGGCUUCAUGUGCACAGGCACGAUGCUGAUUUUGCACCAUCCUGCGUCACUGACCGUCCACACAAUCCUGAGACAUCAGUCACUGGUCCAGCUUCCACUGCGUCCAUCGCCUCCACUGUGUCUGCAGCUGGACAGUUCUCCAUCUCCUCCGUGCCUGCCACUGCACCACCUUCCUUCUCCUCCACCGUGUCUGCGGCUGGACAGUUCUCCAUCUCCUCCGUGCCUGCCACUGCACCAUCUUCCAUCAUCUCCUCCGUGCCUGCCACUGCAUCACCUUCCUUCUCCUCCACCCUGUCUGGGGAUGGGCAGUUCUCCAUCUCCUCCGUGCUUGCCACUGCACCACCUUCCUUCUCCUCCACCGUGUCUGGGGAUGGGAAGUUCUCCAUCUCCUCCGUGCCUGCCACUGCACCAUCUUCCAUCAUCUCCUCCGUGCCUGCCACUGCAUCACCUUCCUUCUCCUCCACCCUCAUCUCCUCCGUGCCUGCCACUGCACCACCUUCCUUCUCCUCCACCGUGUCUGGGGAUGGGCAGUUCUCCAUCUCCUCCGUGCCUGCCACUGCACCACCUUCCUUCUCCUCCACUGUGUCUGGGGAUGGGCAGUUCUCCAUCUCUUCCGUGCCUGCCACUGCACCACAUUCCUUCACCUCCACCGUGUCUGAGGAUGGACAGUUCUCCAUCUCCUCCGUGCCUGCCACUGCACCACCUUCCUUCUCCUCCACCGUGUCUGGGGAUGGGCAGUUCUCCAUCUCCUCCGUGUCUGCUACUGCACCACAUUUCUUCUCCUCCACCGUGUCUGGGGAUGGGCAUUUCUCCAUCUCCUCCGUGCCUGCCACUGCACCACCUUCCAUCAUCUCCUCCGUGCCUGCCAAUGCACCACCUUCCUUCUCCUCCACUGCCUGCCACUGCACCACCUUCCUUCUCCUCCACCGUGUCUGGGGAUGGGCAGUUCUCCAUCUCCUCCGUGUCUGCUACUGCACCACAUUUCUUCUCCUCCACCGUGUCUGGGGAUGGGCAUUUCUCCAUCUCCUCCGUGCCUGCCACUGCACCACCUUCCAUCAUCUCCUCCGUGCCUGCCACUGCAUCACCUUCCUUCGCCUCCACCGUGCGUGCCACUGCAUCCAUCUCUGGGACACCCUACAUCGCCUUAAAUGUACCUACAAUUGGGCCUUUCUCCACCACUUCCACUGUGCAUGUCCCUGGACCAAGUUCCUUUGCCUCCACCAUGCCUGCUGCUGGAACAUCUUCCUUGAUCAUUGAGGAUUUUUUGCCUAUCUUGGUGAGGCCAUUCCCAAAAGCAGGGCCCCGAAAGACAACUAAGACCAGAAAAAGGAGAACGACUGAAAUUCUUACAGACACACCUGUCAGGAAUUCCUUUGAGGAAGAGCAGGAGAAGGCACCCGUCUCCAAAGUAAAAAGAAAGAUCUUUGCAACAAAGGAGAAAAUGGUAAAGAAAGGAAAGAAGUACACAAAAGAAAAUGAGGAUAAGACUGUGGAGG